UUUGAUCCUGGCUCAGGACGAACGCUGGCGGCGUGCUUAACACAUGCAAGUCGAACGAUGAAGCCUUCGGGUGGAUUAGUGGCGAACGGGUGAGUAACACGUGGGCAAUCUGCCCUGCACUCUGGGACAAGCCCUGGAAACGGGGUCUAAUACCGGAUAAUACUGUGCCCCUCAUGGGGGACGGUUGAAAGCUCCGGCGGUGCAGGAUGAGCCCGCGGCCUAUCAGCUUGUUGGUGGGGUAAUGGCCUACCAAGGCGACGACGGGUAGCCGGCCUGAGAGGGCGACCGGCCACACUGGGACUGAGACACGGCCCAGACUCCUACGGGAGGCAGCAGUGGGGAAUAUUGCACAAUGGGCGAAAGCCUGAUGCAGCGACGCCGCGUGAGGGAUGACGGCCUUCGGGUUGUAAACCUCUUUCAGCAGGGAAGAAGCGAAAGUGACGGUACCUGCAGAAGAAGCGCCGGCUAACUACGUGCCAGCAGCCGCGGUAAUACGUAGGGCGCAAGCGUUGUCCGGAAUUAUUGGGCGUAAAGAGCUCGUAGGCGGUCUGUCACGUCGGGUGUGAAAGCCCGGGGCUUAACCCCGGGUCUGCAUUCGAUACGGGCAGACUAGAGUGUGGUAGGGGAGAUCGGAAUUCCUGGUGUAGCGGUGAAAUGCGCAGAUAUCAGGAGGAACACCGGUGGCGAAGGCGGAUCUCUGGGCCAUUACUGACGCUGAGGAGCGAAAGCGUGGG
rnacentral:rRNA from 1 species